AUUGAACGCUGGCGGCAUGCCUUACACAUGCAAGUCGAACGGCAGCGGACCUUCGGGUGCCGGCGAGUGGCGAACGGGUGAGUAAUGCAUCGGAACGUGCCAUUGAGUGGGGGAUAACGUAGCGAAAGUUGCGCUAAUACCGCAUAUUCUGUGAGCAGGAAAGCAGGGGACCGCAAGGCCUUGCGCUCUUUGAGCGGCCGAUGUCAGAUUAGCUAGUUGGUGAGGUAACGGCUUACCAAGGCGACGAUCUGUAGCGGGUCUGAGAGGAUGAUCCGCCACACUGGUAACUGAGACACGGUCCAGACUCCUACGGGAGGCAGCAGUGGGGAAUUUUGGACAAUGGGGGCAACCCUGAUCCAGCCAUGCCGCGUGAGUGAAGAAGGCCUUCGGGUUGUUAAAGG
rnacentral:rRNA from 1 species